rnacentral:rRNA from 1 species
GAUGAACGCUGGCGGCGUGCCUAAUACAUGCAAGUCGAGCGAACGGACGAGACGCUUGCUUCUCUGAUGUUAGCGGCGGACGGGUGAGUAACACGUGGAUAACCUACCUAUAAGACUGGGAUAACUUCGGGAAACCGGCGCUAAUCCCGGAUAAUAUUUUGAACCGCAUGGUUCAAAAGUGAAAGACGGUCUUGCUGUCACUUAUAGAUGGAUCCGCGCUGCAUUAGCUAGUUGGUAAGGUAACGGCUUACCAAGGCAACGAUGCAUAGCCGACCUGAGAGGGUGAUCGGCCACACGAGAACUGAGACACGGUCCAGACUCCUACGGGAGGCAGCAGUAGGGAAUCUUCCGCAGUGGGCGAAAGCCUGACGGAGCAACGCCGCGUGAGUGAUGAAGGUCUUCGGAUCGUAAAACUCUGUUAUUAGGGAAGAACAGAUGUGUAAGUAACUGUGCACAUCUUGACGGUACCGAAUCAGAAAGCCACGGCUAACUACGUG